UGUGUAGGCGGCUAUGCAAGUCGGGUGUGAAAUCCCUGGGCUCAACUCAGGAAGUGCACUCGAAACUGCAUGGCUCGAGUACCGGAGAGGUUGGUAGAAUUCUCGGUGUAGAGGUGAAAUUCGUAGAUAUCGAGAGGAAUACCUGUGGCGAAGGCGGCCAACUGGACGAGUACUGACGCUGAGACACGAAAGCGUGGGGAGCAAACAGGAUUAGAUACCCUGGUAGUCCACGCCGUAAACGAUGGGUGCUAGGUGUCGCGGACUUUGACUCCCGCGGUGCCGUAGCUAACGCAUUAAGCACCCCGCCUGGGAAGUACGGCCGCAAGGCUAAA
rnacentral:rRNA from 1 species